GGCCUAACACAUGCAAGUCGAGCGGUAGAGAAGGAGCUUGCUUCUUCUUGAGAGCGGCGGACGGGUGAGUAAUGCCUAGGAAUCUGCCUGGUAGUGGGGGACAACGUUUCGAAAGGAACGCUAAUACCGCAUACGUCCUACGGGAGAAAGUGGGGGAUCUUCGGACCUCACGCUAUCAGAUGAGCCUAGGUCGGAUUAGCUUGUAGGUGAGGUAAUGGCUCACCUAGGCAACGAUCCGUAACUGGUCUGAGAGGAUGAUCAGUCACACUGGAACUGAGACACGGUCCAGACUCCUACGGGAGGCAGCAG
rnacentral:rRNA from 1 species